GAUGAACGCUGGCGGCGUGCCUAAUACAUGCAAGUCGAGCGAACAGAUGAGGAGCUUGCUCCUCUGACGUUAGCGGCGGACGGGUGAGUAACACGUGGAUAACCUACCUAUAAGACUGGGAUAACUUCGGGAAACCGGAGCUAAUACCGGAUAAUAUAUUGAACCGCAUGGUUCAAUAGUGAAAGACGGUUUUGCUGUCACUUAUAGAUGGAUCCGCGCCGCAUUAGCUAGUUGGUAAGGUAACGGCUUACCAAGGCGACGAUGCGUAGCCGACCUGAGAGGGUGGUCGGCCACACUGGAAGUGAGACACGGUCCAGACUCCUACGGGAGGCAGCAGUAGGGAAUCUUCCGCAAUGGGCGAAAGCCUGACGGAGCAACGCCGCGUGAGUGAUGAAGGUCUUCGGAUCGUAAAACUCUGUUAUUAGGGAAGAACAAAUGUGUAAGUAACUAUGCACGUCUUGACGGUACCUAAUCAGAAAGCCACGGCUAACUACGUG
rnacentral:rRNA from 1 species